CCUACGGGUGGCAGCAGUGGGGGAUAUUGCACAAUGGGGGAAACCCUGAUGCAGCGACGCCGCGUGGGUGAAGAAGCGCCUCGGCGCGUAAAGCCCUGUCAGCAGGGAAGAAAAUGACGGUACCUGAAGAAGAAGCCCCGGCUAACUACGUGCCAGCAGCCGCGGUAAUACGUAGGGGGCAAGCGUUAUCCGGAUUUACUGGGUGUAAAGGGGGCGCAGGCGGCGAUGCAAACAAGGAGUGAAAGCCCGGGGCCCAACCCCGGGACUGCUCUUGGAACUGCGUGGCGAGAGUGCAGGAGGGGCAGGCGGAAUUCCUGGUGUAGCGGUGAAAUGCGUAGAUAUCAGGAGGAACACCGGUGGCGAAGGCGGCCUGCUGGACUGCAACUGACGUUGAGGCCCGAAAGCGUGGGGAGCAAACAGGAUUAGAUACCCGAGUAGUC
rnacentral:rRNA from 1 species